rfam:Tetranychus urticae London genomic scaffold, scaffold_4
GUCUUCGCUCAUACCAGGUUGAAAACACCGGAUCUCGUCAGAUCUCCGAAGUUAAGCAAUCUUGGGCCGGAAUAGUACUUAGAAGGGUGACCUCUUGGGAACAACCGGUGGUGAAGACU